rnacentral:tRNA from 1 species
GGAGAGCUGACCGAGUGGUUGAAGGUGCACGACUGGAAAUCGUGUGUGCGGCGUUGAGCCGUACCCAGGGUUCGAAUCCCUGGCUCUCCGCCA